rnacentral:other from 1 species
CACAAUCUGAGAUGUAUUAAGUUUCUUGUGAUUUUGAACCUACAUUUGAAUAAAAGGGAUUCCUAAUUACUGUUUUGAUGUCAGGCCUCUAUAGGUGGAAGACAGAGACUCAGUUGCGGUUGCCCACCUAGCGUUGCUAGGACUCAAAAUACAAGGACGCAUUUCAGACUGUAU